UAUCAGGAAUGAUAACUUUAAUUGGAAGCAGACAUCCUUGAUUAAGUGGGAUAUUUUCAGAUAUCAAAACACGUAAACAAUAAAUGAUGGCGCUAUAAGUUACUGCCUCCGGGGCGUUAAUAUUUCCAUAGAUUUCUUCAGUUGUACCAGUAAAAUCAAAUAUGGCAUCGCCGUUUUCUUCAUCAAUAGUGAUGCGUAAGCAUAUCUUUGACCCAUCGUCCAUA